UUUCCUCGUUCCAAGCAAAGAAGGAAAACGGAAGAUGCCAAAAGACGGUGGAGCAGAGGAACCAAAUCCUUCGUAGCACAGAGGUGACGGACCCCUGGGGGCCCCUGAGCCUGGCUGGUUAUUGCAGCAGCGCUCUGCACACAGAGAGGGGCCAAAGGGAGCUCCUGGUGUCCCCAUCAUUCCUUAAAGGGAGAGGCGUCAGUCCGGUCAUGGCCAGAACCUGACCAGUGCUCCACAGGUGAGCCUGAGGCAGCAGGGCGUAUAGUCCCCCCUCCUGUACUUGGUGUGGGUAGGGGGGUGGGGGUGUAAUGGGAAGGGCAUAUAAAAUCCAGAGCCACACGCAGCUGGUGCACACCUACCCAGGAGAGAGCAGCCCCCUCCAGCAGCACUGCAGACUAGCCUAUACCUGGACAGACCCCUUCGAUUCAGUAUGAAGCAGCUGACACAGGGACUCUACGCCCUGGCUCUGGUGGCCAGCCUGCAGGUUUUGUCGCCUGUCACAUCAGCAACAACUUCAUCCACAGAUCAUACAAGUCACAAUACAACAGUGCCCACAUCAGAUGUGACACACAGCUCAGAUGUUACAAGUGGAAAUGCAACAACAGCAAAUAGGAACGGAACCACGGCAACAACCAUGACGACGAUGACAAAAUACACAACUGUGAAGACAACCAAACAUCAUAGUGGCACCUCGGCACUCAGCACGUCCCAAUGCCCACUGCUGAUCUUGGUUUUGCUCCUGUGCCUAUUCUCCCCAUGGCACUGAGUGUCCCCUAGUGGCCUGGCAGUAGAGUAGCAUUUCAUUCAGAGUGUGGUAUUCUUCUUGUCGUUUCCUUUAUUCUGAGGAAGAGAGGUCAAAAUAGGUAUAAAAGACAAGUCAUUUUGGGAAUUUAGGUGAUAAUGGCGGCAAGACCACACCUUAGAAGACAGACCACAACCUGCAUACUGAAGUAACUUGAUUUCUUGUAACAUGGCGGCCUUAAUCUGUGUUGUGUUGGUCUGAGUGUACAAAUUAUCAAGGAAAACUCCCAUUUCCUUUUCAGAGUGCUGCUUCAGUAAUCUUAUGCUUCAGCCAUUUUCCUUGACAUCGUGUUAUGCAACCUGGUAUAUAUUUCAUUGUUUUUAUUCUUGUUUAUGCAAAUAGGAAAGUUCGGUUUUUUAUUUUUAAAUAAUCUGCAGGAAAAAAAAAAUCUUAAAAUGAUGUUUUCACCUUGGAAUAAUUAGGUAAAGUAGGGGCAAAGCAUGGUAAAUAUCACCCAGAAAUCUGUGCAACAUCUGUAAAAUAUAAGUCAGAUUCCUUUUUGAAAAAUUUUGAUGUUGUUUCAAAAUAUCAAAAAGAUUGUUUUCAGAUAUGCGGUUGCCAUGAAUAACCGCAUAAGGUAAAAAUGUGAAUGAUGUGAAUGAUGAAACAACAAAGAUUAUAAACCACAUAAGACAACAACAGAGACCAAGGUACCAGGGUUGGGAAAAGGCAACACAUUACAUCACAAGAAAUGAAAUAUAUACAUAUCAAAAUGUACAAAUGACAAAUACCAUUAAACAGACUUUACAGAGGAAGAACAGAAAACGCUUAUUUUUCCAGUGAUGAUGGAAGCUGAGAUGAAUUAGAGAGAGAAAAUAAAAUACAAACUCUAAGUAUAAAUGCCAUUCAGGCAAGAGUCAGCCGGCCAUGGUGCCGGGGAUUAGCCAAAGCUGCCCGACUCAUUAGCCAAAGUUUCCCUGACACAUUACCCUGCACGCCUGGCAUUCCAAGGCCUACACGGUGGCCAGAGGGAUCCUGACGCAACCAUGAAUACUGACCCUGUGGAGAUCCCGGCAAACGGUUCUGGUGGGAACGGUCAAGGUGUGCAUUUAAUUUGGCACUGAAUUGGGCACCUGUGGUUUUAUGUUUUUUGGAUACAAUCUGGGUUAGUGCCCAGGCUUCCCUUUCAGGCAGCUUCCUCUUGCGUCCACAGUUACUCCUGUUGGAUGUGGUCUGUCCUCCGUUGGUGGUAUGUUGAUGUUACCCUGGAUACCGUGACUCUCAAUACACCACGAGGAUUUGCUAUCCUGGUCACAGAUGCGCCAGCCAGACGCCCACCAACAAUUUGGCCUCUGCUGAACUCUGCCUCCCGUUAUGUCGUGUGGAUCGCAAUAUAUUAUGUACAGCUCUGCUGUUGCUCAGCUAAUUCAGCCUUCAUUCUCUGCUCUUACUUACGGAAUGUGCCAUCAGUGAAGACUGGCAUCCAGGCCACACAUAAAUAGGUGUGAAGCCUCGAACACUAUUUUGGCCAGUGUUUCAUUGUCCAACACCCUGUACAUCUUCUACUUGCUUACUCUGCUGAGCACCAACCUCAGGGUCAGAGGAACGGCGGCCUUGUGAUGGGCCACAGCUCAGGAGACCUGUGUUUUCCCCAGUAAUGAAUGUAGAACAUGUAUUGGAGCGAAACUAAAGAAGAAGGAACCUCAAUUCAAGAACAGAGCAAAGAGGUGCCUGACUGACUGUAUAUAAGCUGCCUUUAAGAUCAGCAUUCAGGCUGCAGCAGGCUGAGUUAUUGUCUCUUAAUGUAUCAUCACAGAAACAUUACAUUACACUGUCAGAGCUGCCAACUCUCUUGCAUCUGGCGUGACACACGCUUGUGCAAGAAACCUUAUGAGAAAUCUAUAUUAUUCCAUUAUAAACCUAAAAUUAGCUACAUUGAAGGGGUUGGGGUGGUUCGCAAACCCUAAAGGCUAUUUACAAGGUAAUAAAACUGUUACAUAAAUGUCAAUGCGUGUGCAGACGUGUCUCAAAUUGACAAUCUCACUCCAGCCAGCUGAAGGAAGUUGGCAAUUGUUUGGUACUUACACUCGAAUCACAAAACAGUCAAAAGGUGAGGUAAGGUAAAGAGCAGGCACUGAUUACAGUGCAUUGCUGUACCCCCCCCCCCCCCGCACGACAAACCACCUCAGGGAUGGGAACCUGAGUGCAGCAAUACGGCGGGUGAUACCUCAGCACCACUCUAGUUCCAAUGGACAAGUGUGAGGUUUUUUUUCCAGUGGGUUUAGUUUCAAUCCUGCCGUCAGCCCCCAAGUUUUCCCUGGAAGUUAAUGGCCCCGCUCAAGGACCCAAUAGGGUAGAAUCACAUGGGAAUUCACAGGAUUAAAACCAGCAACCUUCCAUUUCCUGGCACAGAGCCACCACUCCACCCACAAAAGAACAGCGUUUGGAUCACUGUAAGCAAGCGUCGGCAUCACUAAGUGGAAGGACCCCUGCCACCAGGACGAUGUACCCAUUUCACACUCUGCUCGUCUUGAUGUCCACCAGUGCACAGCCAACAGCAGGGCAAGAACCAGCAAUGACAACCAAGGAAACCUUCAUCACUUUGUCGCUUCCAAUCCCGAAACCACUGAAACUGCAGAGUCAACAACUGCCAUGUCACUGUCAAUACAAAGUACUGCCACUGAAACAUCCGAAACAGCUGCAGCCAACACAUCGAUGUCUACGGCAGCAGCUAGACCUACUCUACAAAUGGUAACUCAACCGCGUCACCUGCGACUAAUGCAUCUUCAUCAACAAACACUGUGAGCACAGCAUCCAUGGCAGCGUCCAAGACAAACAGCGGCUGCCCAGUUAGCAAGAAACUCACGCUGAUAAGCUCCUUGAUUCCUGUUUUGCUUCAUGCCCUGUUGACCUGAGUAUGCCGCAUGCAUAAGAGAAGUAAUAGCAGAAACCUGGGAAGAGUGCAAAUCCUAGGUUUUAUGGAGAGGAGGAACUGAAACAUGGACAAUGCAUGUGGCAAUUAUUCUACAGUUCUACCCUUACAUUACAUGACUCUAAUACUCUACUCUGGCAUUACAUUAUAUAGUUCUUCAUGUCAAGAACUAAAAAUUAAAUGUAAAUAAUAUCAAUAUAUAUCUACCUAUACAGUUGGAUAAAAUAUUUUUGAAAAUAUAUAGAUGGCUUUCGAUACUGAAAAGCAUAUAUACUUUUCAAACUAUAAUUUUAUUCGUUCGCUCCUGUCAUCCAGGUUUGUAGUUUGUCCAAUGAUUAAAAUAAAAUGACUAAGAGUUUAACCCCAAAAUGCAGGAAAUAAAAGAUUUCC